rnacentral:lncRNA from 1 species
ACGAGAAUUUCAAACAUAUUUAUUUCUUGAUAUAAAGAAGAGAAUUCAGGAUGUACAACAAAAGCAAAAGUUGUGGCACGCUGUAUUAAAAGAUCUAGAUCAGAGAAAAAGUAAGGUGUCAAGUGUACAUCUCAUGGAAAGGGAAAUCAGAGACUUUGUUUCUAGACUUCAGAAUGUCCUUGAAACUUAUUUCAACGAGUUCCAACUUAGAAGAGGCAGAAGCAUAAUUGGAAAACUCAUUGAUGAAUUCAAAUUCUUCCGGAUGGCUAAUUUAGAUGUUAAAGAAAUUAAUAUGCAGAUAAGGAUGAC